UGCUUGCAUACACUUUAUUUUAUCCUGAUGGAUAGUUAUCUUAUUUGCUAUCAUACCACAUCUCCACUGUUUUUAUCUAAAAAAAAAGCUAGCACCAACAAAAGAUGAAUGGACGGUUUAUUUUAUUGAACUUACACAAUUUCAACCUAACAACAAAUAAGACAACAGUCGUUAGUAGUAUAACGAUAUAUAAAUGUAUUUAGGAUAAUAUGGUUGAAAAAAACUUUUUGUACAAAAUCGAAAAGCGGUACGCAACGAGGCCUUCUGAACUGAAUUAACGGCAUAUAUUUAAUAAUAUUUGAUAAGUAAG
rnacentral:lncRNA from 1 species